AGGACUUUGUCAAGGAAAAAAGUUCGUGAGGCCAAAAAGGCCAACAGAGAGGCAAGAGAAGCUAGCAAGAAAGCCAUUGAAGACAUGAGCGAGGAGACCAAAACAGCAUUUCAAAAUAUGAAGUUCUACAAGUUUUAUCCCGUACCAACACCGGAUACACCUGAUUUAUCAAACACUAAGUCGACAUUCAUAAACCAUUACUACAGACAUGCCCACGAACUCCUGUAAUAGACCAAUAUCUGUAUAACGACGGCUGUUCGUAGCUCGAAGAUUUUUGUGCACUAUGAGGAAGGUUAGGAGAGCCCUAGUUCCCGG